rnacentral:rRNA from 1 species
CCUACGGGUGGCUGCAGUGGGGAAUAUUGGACAAUGGGGGGAACCCUGAUCCAGCCAUGCCGCGUGUGUGAAGAAGGCCCUCGGGUUGUAAAGCACUUUCAGUGAGGAAGAACGCCUGGUGGUUAAUACCCAUCAGGAAAGACAUCACUCACAGAAGAAGCACCGGCUAACUCCGUGCCAGCAGCCGUGGUAAUACGGAGGGUGCGAGCGUUAAUCGGAAUUACUGGGCGUAAAGCGCGCGUAGGUGGCUUGAUAAGCCGGUUGUGAAAGCCCCGGGCUCAACCUGGGAACGGCAUCCGGAACUGUCAAGCUAGAGUGCAGGAGAGGAAGGUAGAAUUCCCGGUGUAGCGGUGAAAUGCGUAGAGAUCGGGAGGAAUACCAGUGGCGAAGGCGGCCUUCUGGACUGACACCGACACUGAGGUGCGAAAGCGUGGGUAGCAAACAGGAUUAGAUACCCCAGUAGUC